rnacentral:rRNA from 1 species
AUUGAACGCUGGCGGAAUGCUUUACACAUGCAAGUCGAACAGCAGCACGGACUUCGGUCUGGUGGCGAGUGGCGAACGGGUGAGUAAUGCAUCGGAACGUGCCCAGUCGUGGGGGAUAACGUAGUGAAAAUUACGCUAAUACCGCAUACGAUCUAUGGAUGAAAGCGGGGGAUCGCAAGACCUCGCGCGAUUGGAGCGGCCGAUAUCAGAUUAGGUAGUUGGUGGGGUAAAGGCCCACCAAGCCAACGAUCUGUAGCUGGUCUGAGAGGACGACCAGCCACACUGGAACUGAGACACGGUCCAGACUCCUACGGGAGGCAGCAGUGGGGAAUUUUGGACAAUGGGCGAAAGCCUGAUCCAGCCAUUCCGCGUGCAGGAUGAAGGCCCUCGGGUUGUAAACUGCUUUUGUACAGAACGAAAAGGUUUCUACUAAUACUAGGAGCUCAUGACGGUACUGUAAGAAUAAGCACCGGCUAACUACGUGCCAGCCGCCGCUGUAA